rnacentral:rRNA from 1 species
UACGGAGGGGGCUAGCGUUGUUCGGAAUUACUGGGCGUAAAGCGCGCGUAGGCGGCUUUGUAAGUUAGAGGUGAAAGCCCGGAGCUCAACUCCGGAACUGCCUUUAAGACUGCAUCGCUAGAAUCAUGGAGAGGUGAGUGGAAUUCCGAGUGUAGAGGUGAAAUUCGUAGAUAUUGGGAAGAACACCGGUGGCGAAGGCGGCUCACUGGCUCAUUACUGACGCUCAGGCGCGAUAGCGUGGGGAUCAAACAGG